UCUUAUGCCCAUUUAGAGUUCUUCUUCUCUGAAAAAAAAUACUCUCUCACUCUCUUCCUCACGUGACAGUCGCUUCUGCUUAAUCUCGUGCCUGCUCCGACUAGAAGCCAUUCUCGGACGGUCUCAACCACCUCCGACCACUUUUCCGGUGAUAUUGGGGAUGUGAGCAGCUUGUUUUUAGCUCAAGGAGACCGUGACAAAGCUCGAAAAAAGCUUUGACAUUCCUGAACCAAUGGAGACCCGAGAGUUUCCCAAGUUUCAUUUUACUUCCGAGCUUGACUCCUAAGACUCCCUUAGGAGAGGUGUAACUUCUUUAACCUUAGAUCAUGACUAGGAUUCUCAUUGAUGUAUGAUGAUGUGAUGAUGUUUGAUGAGUGGAUUGAUGAACUCUCUUGAUUGACCGCUCCUUAUAUGCAUGAAAUCGGGAUUAAUCU